GACGAACGCUGGCGGCGUGCCUAAUACAUGCAAGUAGGACGCAGUUGCGAACGGGUGAGUAACGCGUAGGUACCUGCCUAUUAGAGGGGGAUAACUCUUGUAAACGAUAGCUAAUACCGCAUACUAGUAGAUGGACCUGCGUUGUAUUAGCUAGUAGGUAGGGUAAUGGCCUACCUAGGCAAAGAUACAUAGCCGACCUGAGAGGGUGAGCGGCCACACUGGGACUUAGAAACGGCCCAGACUCCUCCGGGAGGCAGCAGUAGGGAAUCUGCGGCAAUGGGGGGAAGCCUGACCGAGCAACGCCGCGUGAGUGAAGAAGGUUUUCGGAUCGUAAAGCUCUGUUGUUAAGGAAGCGGUACUUAACCAGAAAGGAACGGCUAACUACGUGCCAGCCGCCGCGGUAAUAC
rnacentral:rRNA from 1 species